rnacentral:tRNA from 1 species
GCCGAGAUAGCUCAGCCGGUAGAGCAGGGGACUGAAAAUCCCCGUGUCCGCAGUUCAACUCUGCGUCUCGGCACCA